rnacentral:rRNA from 1 species
UGGGGAAUUUUGGACAAUGGGCGCAAGCCUGAUCCAGCCAUGCCGCGUGCGGGAAGAAGGCCUUCGGGUUGUAAACCGCUUUUGUCAGGGAAGAAAUCUUCUGAGUUAAUACCUCGGGAGGAUGACGGUACCUGAAGAAUAAGCACCGGCUAACUACGUGCCAGCAGCCGCGGUAAUACGUAGGGUGCAAGCGUUAAUCGGAAUUACUGGGCGUAAAGCGUGCGCAGGCGGUUUUGUAAGACAGAGGUGAAAUCCCCGGGCUCAACCUGGGAACUGCCUUUGUGACUGCAAGGCUUGAGUGCGGCAGAGGGGGGAAUGGAAUUCCGCGUGUAGCAGUGAAAUGCGUAGAUAUGCGGAGGAACACCGAUGGCGAAGGCAAUCCCCUUGGGCCUGCACUGACGCUCAUGCACGAAAGCGUGGGGAGCAAACAGGAUUAGAUA